UCCUCAAUUCAGGCCACACCCUCCAGCCCCUGACCCGAGGUGUCUAGCCACCAGGUCCACACUUCCUUGCCUUCUCCUUGGGGACACCGCCCUGAAGACAGGAUGUCACUGCUGGAAGCAUUCGCCUUCUCCUCCUUCUGGGCAUUUGGACUUGGAUUAUCAAAAGUGGAGCAGUUCCAGCUAUCCGUUUCCACGGAAGUCAAGAAAAGUAUUGACAUACCUUGCAAGAUACAGAGCACAAACUUUGCAAACGAUGUCAUUCACUGGUACUGGCAGAAACCGAAUCAGGCUUUGGAGCAUCUGAUCUAUAUUACCUCAACAAAAUCCGCAGUUCAAGGCAGCAUGGGUAAGAGGAGCAACAAAGUGGAAGCAAGAAAGAAUUCUCAAACUCUCACUUCAAUCCUUACCAUCAAGUCCGUAGAGAAAGAAGACAUGGCCAUUUACUACUGUGCAGGAUGGGAUUUUGGAAAAUAUUAUAAGAAACUCUUUGGCAGUGGAACAACACUUGUUGUCACAGAUAAACAUCUUGAUGCAGAUGUUUCCCCCAAGCCCACUAUUUUUCUUCCUUCCAUUGCUGAAACAAACCUCCACAAGGCUGGAACAUACCUUUGUCUUCUUGAGAAAUUUUUCCCGGAUGUUAUUGAGAUACAUUGGCAAGAAAAGAACAGCAACAACGUUCUGAAAUCCCAAGAGGGGAACACCGUGAAGACUAACAACACAUACAUGAAAUUUAGCUGGUUAACAGUGCCAGAAAACUCACUGGAUAAAGAGCACAGAUGUAUCGUCAGACAUGAGAAUAAUAAAAAUGGAGCUGAUCAAGAAAUUAUCUUUCCUCCAAUAAAGACAGAUGUCACCACAGUGGAUCCCAAAGACAGUUAUUCAAAAGAUGCAAAUGAUGUCACCACAGUGGAUCCCAAAGGCAAUUAUUCAGAAGAUGCAAAUGAUGCACUACUGCUGCAGCUCACAAACACCUCUGCAUAUUACAUGUACCUCCUCCUGCUCGUCAAGAGUGAGGUCUAUUUUGCCAUCAUCGCCGUCUGUCUGCUUAGAAGAACGGCUGUCUGCUGCAAUGGAGAGAGACCCUAACAGACGGUGGCACAAGGACGCCAUCUUUUCCUCAUCGGUUAUUGUCCCUAGAAGUGUCUUCUGAGGAUCUAGUUGGGCUUUCUUUCUGGGUUUGAGCUAUUUCACUUCUCAUGUGUGUACUAUUCUAUCAUUGUUGUAGAAUGGUUUUCAAACCAGUGGGCGCACGGAAAACCUCAGUCUGUGAUGACAAUGAGGAAUAGCCAUGGCAGUCUCCAGCACCACUCUCUCCAUAUUCUCCACAGCUCCUCCAGCCAACCCAAAUAGCCACUGCCAUGGUGUAGACAGUCCGCGGCUUCUAGCCUUGUCCCUCCCUUAGUGUUCUUUAAUCAGAUCUAACUGCCUGGAAGCCUUUCAUUUGACACGCCCUGAAGCAGCCUUCUUUGCUAGUUGAAUUACAUGGUGUAUUUUUCCUAACAGGCAAAAUAAAUUUAAAAUAAUGAAAAGUUGA